GUUGAACGCUGGCGGCGUGCCUAAUACAUGCAAGUCGAGCGAACACACGAGGAGCUCGCUCCUCUGAUGUUACCGGCGGACGGGUGAUUAACACGUAGAUAACCUACCUAUAAGACUGGGAUAACUUCGGUAAACCUGAUCUCAUACCGGAUCUCAUGUUGAAACGCAUGGUCCAACAGUCAACGCGGGUCUUGCUGUCCCUUUUUGAUGUAUCCUCGCCGGAUUAGCUAGUUGGUAAGGUAAAGGCUUACCAAGGCAACGAUGCGUAGCCGACCUGAGAGGGUGAUCGGCCACACUGGGACUGAGACACGGUCCAGACUCCUACGGGAGGCAGCAGUAGGGAAUCUUAGGCAAUGGGCGAAAGCCUGAUGGAGCAACGCCGCGUGAGGGAAGAAGGUCUUCGGAUCGUAAAACGCUGUUAUAAGGGAAGAAAAAAUGUGGAAGUAAAUAUGCACGUCAUGACGGUACCUAAACAGAAAGCCACGGCUAACUACGUG
rnacentral:rRNA from 1 species